rnacentral:lncRNA from 1 species
UGAUCUGUAAUUCUGAUGGCAUGAUUAUACUUUUCUCUGACCCUCCAUGGAUCAAAAGAACUUUGAUUUGUUUUUCUGCAUGUAAAAGUUUAAGAUCAAUAUCUCUUCCAGGUGGAUCCAUGGCCAUUUCUGUUGCAGAAUUAAAAAAUGACUUUAGUAUACAGUUAUCCAAAUGGGAAAUCCUAGACAGUCAUUAAAAUCAUAACAAACUGGGCUGGGGAUAUAGCUCAGUUGGUAUAGUGCUUGCCUAGCAUGCAUGAGGCCCUGAGUUCAAUCCCCAGCACCACAAAAAAAGAAAAAAAUAUAACAAGCUAACAACGCCCAGUAAAAAAAAAAAAAAAAAAAAAGACUGGUGCCAGGCUGGGUUGUGGCUCAGUGGUAGAACGCUCACCUAGCAUGUGUGAGGCACUGGGUUCGAUCCUCAGCACCACAUAAAAAAGAAAACAAACAAAAUAAAGGUAUUAUGUCCAUCUACAACUAAAAAUUAAAUACAAAGACUGGUGCCAUCCAAGCCAUCCUGCUCUUGGGUGUCAGUUGUGCAGAAAAAUUAAAAACUGUUUCAGGGAAAGAGUGGAUCAUGGAUUAAAGGAGCUAUUUUGUCUUUACUACUAUAAUCAGGUAGAAAAGAUCUCACAGAAGUCCUAAUGUGCAGAUUUAGCAAAAUAGUCACCCAGGAGUCCUCAAUGAGGUAUUAUUAUUAUUUUUUAAAUUCCUCAACUUUGAGCUCCCCCAGAAAACACAGUGACUGCCGACUGCUCAUGUUUUAAACCUCUUCUUCAUAUAAAUGUUAAAUCAAUUCUUUCCUAUGGAUUUAAGAAAAUAGAUAAAUGGAGGAUAACAGUACAAUUCAUCACCUCAUUUUUUAAUCUCCCGCCUCUUUAUAUCUAUGGUCUUCUCUGAUAUGUUUGUUAAGUGUUUCCCCCAUCGGGCUAUGAUUUUCUGAAAGGUAGACAUUUUUUCUGCACCUCUGUUAUGUCAACCUCUUAAGGGGCGUUUGAAUUAAUGUGUGUCGAAUGAAUGAUUGAGUGGAAAAAUUAUAGCAAGCCUUUGCUCUAUGCCUGCACUUAUGGAAGCACUUUAUAGACAUAAACUCCAUUUAAUUCUCUAGGCACCCUGUGAGGUAGGUGUUCAUGUUAUCCACCUUAUACAGUGAGGAAUUCUGCGCUCAGUGAGGUUUCUGAAGACACCCCAAGUUACACUGUGGCCUUGCAGGAUUCAUCCAGCAAUGCCAACUGCUGUGUGGUGGUCAAAUGCCAAGACUCCUCAGGCUGACGGAUAUGUUUUCUAUAACCUGGCCUUACUCUUCCUCUGCAACCUUAUCUCUCACCCUCCUCUAACGCGUACCUUCCUCUGUAGCCAUGGUAACAACCUCCCAGUUCUCCUGAAGUUGCUUCUGCAUAAUUCGACCUUUGCUCCUCCGAUUUCCUUUCUAGAAAUUAUCU